UAACCUGCCCAAGAGACUGGGAUAACACCUGGAAACAGAUGCUAAUACCGGAUAACAACACUAGACGCAUGUCUAGAGUUUAAAAGAUGGUUCUGCUAUCACUCUUGGAUGGACCUGCGGUGCAUUAGCUAGUUGGUAAGGUAACGGCUUACCAAGGCAAUGAUGCAUAGCCGAGUUGAGAGACUGAUCGGCCACAUUGGGACUGAGACACGGCCCAGACUCCUACGGAAGGCAGCAG
rnacentral:rRNA from 1 species